rnacentral:lncRNA from 1 species
CAGGAGGUACCCUUUGGGCUGGGGAGGGAGAGAUGCCCGGAACACUUCGGGUCCUUUCCUGUGAUGGAUGAAAUGCCCGCUUUAGCGACAAAAAAAAAAGAAAAAAAGAAGAAAAAGGCAAUAAACCCCUAAAACCCAUCUAACGGUCACGACAACCCCGUAAACUCAUUAAUUACACAUUCCCUCGCCCCAACGGCUAGGGGAGACAAUACAAAACAAAGUCUUAUAUAAGAUUCACACCGUAGCUGGGACCCCUCAGCUCUGAUUCCUUUUGUGGAAAACCCAUCCUCCGCUCAAAACAGAGUAGCCCAGAGAAUCGCAAAAAAAAAAGUAAAAAAAAGCAAAGGAGAACCAAAGCUGCCGACUUUUUCUCUCUUCGUCGCGUUCAAGUAGCCCCUCGACCCCAAUCUCCAUCUAUGAAAUCCCCGU